AUUGAACGCUGGCGGCAGGCCUAACCCAUGCAAGUCGAACGAGUGGCGGACGGGUGAGUAAUGUCUGGGAACCUGCCUGAUGGCGGGGGAUAACUACUGGAAACGGUAGCUAAUACCGCAUACCAUCGGAUGUGCCCAGAUGGGAUUAGCUAGUAGGUGGGGUACCGGCUCACCUAGGCGACGAUCCCUAGCUGGUCUGAGAGGAUGACCAGCCACACUGGAACUGAGACACGGUCCAGACUCCUACGGGAGGCAGAAGUGGGGAAUAUUGCACAAUGGGGGCAAGCCUGAUCCAGCCAUGCCGCGUGUAUGAAGAAGGCCUUCGGGUUGUAAAGUACUUUCAGCGGGGAGGCGUUACCCGCAGAAGAAGCACCGGCUAACUCCGUGCCAGCAGCCGCGGUAAUUC
rnacentral:rRNA from 1 species